rnacentral:rRNA from 1 species
AAUAGAUACCCGGGUAGUCCACGCCCCUAAACGAUGUCUACUAGUUGUCGGGUUCGUUAAUUGUACUUGGUUAACGCAGCUAACGCGUGAAGUAGACCGCCUGGGGAGUACGGUCGCAAGAUUAAAACUCAAAGGAAUUGACGGGGACCCGCACAAGCGGUGGAUGAUGUGGAUUAAUUCGAUGCAACGCGAAAAAACCUUACCUACCCUUGACAUGUCAGGAACCCUGGAGAGAUCUGGGGGUGCCCGAAAGGGAGCCUGAACACAAGGUGCUGCAUGGCUGUCGUCAGCUCGUGUCGUGAGAUGUUGGGUUAAGUCCCGCAACGAGCGCAACCCUUGCCAUUAGUUGCUACGAAAGGGCACUCUAAUGGGACUGCCGGUGACAAACCGGAGGAAGGUGGGGAUGACGUCAGGUCCUCAUGGCCCUUAUGGGUAGGGCUACACACGUCAUACAAGUGGCCGGUACAGAGGGCUGCCAAAGCGCGAGCUGGAGCCAAUCCCAGAAAACCGGUCGUAGUCCGGAUCGCAGUCUAGCAACUCGACUGCGGU